GACGAACGCUGGCGGCGUGCUUAACACAUGCAAGUCGAACGGAAAGGCCCCUUUGGGGGUACUCGAGUGGCGAACGGGUGCGUAACACGUGAGUAACCUGCCCUUGACUUCGGGAUAACUUCAGGAAACUGGGGCUAAUACCGGAUAGGAAUCCUUGCUGCAUGGUGGGGGUUGGAAAGCUUCGGCGGUUUUGGAUGGACUCGCGGCUUAUCAGCUUGUUGGUGGGGUAGUGGCUUACCAAGGCUUUGACGGGUAGCCGGCCUGAGAGGGCGACCGGCCACAUUGGGACUGAGAUACGGCCCAGACUCCGACGGGAGGCAGCAGUGGGGAAGAUUGCACAAUGGGCGGAAGCCUGAUGCAGCAACGCCGCGUGCGGGAUGACGGCCUUCGGGUUGUAAACCGCUUUCAGCAGGGGCGAAGCUUGUGGUGACGGUACCUGCAGAAGAAGCACCGGCUAACUACGUG
rnacentral:rRNA from 1 species